AUGCUCAGUUGUGAAACAAUUUCUCUCAGUUUCCAACUUUUUUCUCAGUAAUCAUUUUACUUUUAGGCAGCUAAACCAAAUGCAGAGGAGUUUUUUCUUUUUGACACGAUAUAAAAGUUUUACAAAUUCACCUUUGAUACAUUUAGUUGCACACCAAUAGAUGUAUCCAUAUCGUUUUUAUUUUUAUUUUUAGAAAAGCAAUUGCAGCAGUGAAGCAAAAUGGAAGGAAAAGAAGGCAAUAAAAUCAUUGAAGAGUGAAUGAAGUACAGGUGCUUUAGACAAAAUAUAAGUGGCUAAAAAAGAUGUGGAUCAAUAAUACUAGCUUUAAUAUCACUGACAAACAAAAUAGAUGAAGCUGCAUUGAAUGAGCAUGUCCCUCAACUAUAGAACUUCACACUAAAAAGAACAAUGAGCCCCAAGAUUUAGAUGAAAUGCUGACUACAUUACAUUAGAAAGUAAUCCUCAUUUUCAAAAAGAUUCUGAGCAACAAGGAUCUUUUAUUCCCAAGUGAUGUCAUUAUUUUGGUUUAAAUUAUUUAUUAAUUUUAGUACAUUCAUAUUUCUUUGAAUACAGUACAUUUGAUGGAUAUAGAAAGUGAUAUCCUUGAAAGACCUAUUUUCAUGUUAAUAUAAAAAUGUGGCCAGAAGAAAUUAAGACAUUGAUUCUACUGAUCAUGGAAAAGUAUUUUACAAAGAGACUCUCCAUUGUUUUCAAUCAAAAAUUGCCUUAUUUUUAAGGCUCAUCAUGGCAUGAUUGUAAUUCAUCACUCAAAGUGAUAAUUUUAAACAAUGAUUAGAGCUGUAAAAUUAUAACUAACAUCUGUACAGUAUAAAUAAUGAAAUAAGCCAUAAAUCUUUGGAACUGAUCGGCAGAGUAAGACUAAAAUCUAUGUUUUAAUGUGCAUCACAUCUCCGGAGGACUCAUCCGAGUUCCAUCACCGUUUUUUGGCGCUCAUCUCCUGCUCCGGACUCCAUCGUCUCCGGCUCCGGUUUUCAGCAAUCAUCUCCGGGUCGUCUCCGGCUCCGGUUUUUAGCACUCAUCUCCGGUUCUGG